rnacentral:tRNA from 1 species
UGCAUUUUAGUGUAUGAGGCACUUAAAUUUUGAUCUUUAUAGUUAUGGUUUAAUUCCAUAGAUUGCAA